AACUUUGUCAUGAAUUGUCAGUGCUGAGUUCCUGGUAGUUGGUAAAAAGAAUUGCCUUCUCUCUGAUAUCCUGUUCUGCGGGAAGUCCUUGUGGUUUAGAUUCACAGUUUCUCAUUGUUGCUAGCUACAGUCGUCUCCUCCCUCCUAGCCUUCCCUCCCCACAGCUCUAGCUAUUCCCAUAUCCCUCCCCAUUCUUGUAUCACUUGCCCCACAGAUACCCUCGUGAUUAGAGGUCUUUUGCUGGAGGUUGACUGUGCUGUCUGCUCUCUGACACAGCUGGCUAUUCUAGUCCCAGAAGAAAGAGGAGAGACUUGCUGAAGAUCUGGAUGGGACAAUAGAAGUUUGGGGCACAUUAAAAAGAAGCAGCAAGAACAUCAACAAAAACCUCAGAUGAUUCAAACAGGCUUCUUCUUGGCUUUGUGGAACCUUUUGCAGUUGCUCAGAAUUUGAGUUUUUGCUUCAGAGGAUGAUGAGACAAGGCAAUAGAGGGUGAGGAGGAUUAUGUUGGAUUCUUGCUUCUCUGUCUGCCUCUCCUUCCAGUUGGAAAAAUCUUCAGUCCAUAAGAAGCAUUAUCAACAAGCCUGAAGAACACAUCUUACCCUGAUCCUGGAUGCUGUUGGAGUUGAGAAUUACAUCCACUUCACCAGGACUUUAUGGAGGCUGUUCAAGAAAAAUAGAAGGAAGCAAUACUUAAGGAUUUCUCUGUUUGCAUUAGUCCUGUGCCAUGUUACAUUUUGGAGAUUGUUUGGAACAAGUGAGGGAGGGCUCUGUCAUCUUGAUCUAGGAGGAUACCUGAGUCCCUUGACUACACAGAU
rnacentral:sRNA from 1 species